rnacentral:rRNA from 1 species
UACAGAGGUCCCAAGCGUUGUUCGGAUUCACUGGGCGUAAAGGGUGCGUAGGCGGUCGGGUAAGUCUGAUGUGAAAUCUCACAGCUUAACUGUGAAACUGCAUUGGAUACUAUCCGGCUAGAGGAAUGGAGGGGAGACUGGAAUACUUGGUGUAGCAGUGAAAUGCGUAGAUAUCAGUCGGAACACCGGUGGCGAAGGCGGCUUCUUGGGCCCUACCUGACGCUGAGGCGCGAAAGCCAGGGGAGCGAACGGG